rnacentral:rRNA from 1 species
GAUGAACGCUGGCGGCGUGCCUAAUACAUGCAAGUCGAGCGAACAGACGAGGAGCUUGCUCCUCUGACGUUAGCGGCGGACGGGUGAGUAACACGUGGAUAACCUACCUAUAAGACUGGGAUAACUUCGGGAAACCGGAGCUAAUACCGGAUAAUAUAUUGAACCGCAUGGUUCAAUAGUGAAAGACGGUUUUGCUGUCACUUAUAGAUGGAUCCGCGCCGCAUUAGCUAGUUGGUAAGGUAACGGCUUACCAAGGCAACGAUGCGUAGCCGACCUGAGAGGGUGAUCGGCCACACUGGAACUGAGACACGGUCCAGACGCCUACGGGAGGCAGCAGUAGGGAAUCUUCCGCAAUGGGCGAAAGCUUGGCGGAGCAACGCCGCGUGAGUGAUGAAGGUCUUCGGAUCGUAAAACUCUGUUAUUAGGGAAGAACAAAUGUGUAAGUAACUAUGCACGUCUUGACGGUACCUAAUCAGAAAGCCACGGCUAACUACGUG